rnacentral:lncRNA from 1 species
GGACGCCGUCAGUCUCACCGUCCGCCCGGCUCCGGGCGCAGCCGGUGCGCUGUUCCCAGGCCCCGCGGCGCGCGGGAGCUGCGCGUCCAGGAGGGGCCCGGACGCCCUUCUUGGGGAGGGGGCUGCGGGGCGCAUCAUGAGCGGCGCUGGGCGAGCUCGAGGGCCGGGCAGCCUACCUGGACCCCGGCUUCUAGAGAGCCGUCGCCGUCCUUGUCGAGACUCGCUUUCGCCCCUCUGAGGAAUAAGUUAAAAACCGCGAGUCUGGUUCUGAGCCGCCCCCUGGCGCAGGCGCGACCCCACCCGGCCCUCCCGUCUCCCAACUUGGGACAGACGCGGCGGCCGGGCGGUCGGAUCCGUGAGCCUCGGCCGCUGGGGCUACAUACACAGCCCAGGACGCCACAGAAUCGCCGAGGCCCCGCGAACGCCCAAACGGCCGCAAGUCGAAGUGAUCCCAUCUGAAGAAGACAGCGCGAGGAAGCGAGACCCUGCUGUGUGCCGGCCCCCGGAGGGCGCCCCGGGCCCUGUGGGUCGGAGGGUGGGGAAGCACAGAGAAACACGCAGGCAGUAAAACGUUAGGAGGACAGGGGGUGCCAGCGUGCAGGAAAUGCUGCUAAGAGACCUUUAGGAGCCAAGGGGAAAACGGAGAGAUUGGCAGUUCCAGGCACCCACAUCCCAGCGCGGUCCGCUCACCCCUUCCUCCCUGCCCUCCAGGCAGCGCUCAGCCCACGGUAGAAAUGUCUUGCAUCUUUUUUCCGACGAGGAAGAAUUGAACUUUUUAUACCCAACUUUUCUGCUUUCUUAGAAAUGUUGACUCACCUGUGAGGAAGCAUUAUUUGAAACUAUUAUUGUAAAUUGCUUGACAUUUGAAUUAGAUGCUGAAAGAUUAAAGGGUCUCAGAAGAAUCUUUUAAGCUAGACUGGAAUUGACUCUGCCUAAAUGGACAGCAACAGUCAUCUAUACGCAGGAAUAAUAAAGCAGGUGGAGGCAGCCUCUAACUUACCUUCCAGCCACACCGUAGAAUUUCCUGAGCAGGCUUUUUUGUCAGAGUUUUGAGCUGGGUUCCCUGAGACUGGAUUGGGGCUUUCAGUUUCUCCCCUUCUAGAGUCAGACUUCUUCCUGAAGAAAAAGUGUUAUCUCUACUUCCCUAUCACAAACACUUCCUAGAACACAGCCCUGUUAAAAGGUCCUGAGUGAGCCCCUUUGCUGUGCAGAACAAUGGUGAUACAUACAGGCGAGAGCAAAACCCACGAGGUGUCCACCUCACGGCCGACCACAAGAGAUCCUCAAGAGACACAUCUCAGGAAUGAUUCUGAACCUUCUUCACCAAAUAAAAUAUUCCAGAAAUAGUAUUAGAUUUAAUGUGUGUGUCCCUCCUUGCUGGUCUUCCUAGCAGCAGCCUUCUUGUUUCUUGCCUUUUUAGGCAAACAGCCUGAAACUUAGCACAGACGGUGGAAUUGCAGCACCUAUGAAGAUAUCACUGCAUCCUUUUUGCCUCAGGACAUCUUACUGAAAAUCAUUCUAUGUUAAAGCUAUACAUUUUGCUGAAAUUUUGAAGACAAACAUCAAUGGUGAAUUAUAAACUUGUAUUUGCCUAAAGGCUAGUGUGAACUUAUCACUUUCGCCUUCCCCCAGGCCAAGAUUUUCCCUCCCCUUGUUGCCCAAGCCUCACUUUCUAU